AGGAUGAACGCUGGCGGCGUGCUUAACACAUGCAAGUCGAACGGUGAAGUGAGGAGCUUGCUCCUUGCGGAUCAGUGGCGAACGGGUGAGUAACACGUGAGUAACCUGCCCUUGACUCUGGGAUAAGCGUUGGAAACGACGUCUAAUACCGGAUACGACCUCCGAAGGCAUCUUCUGGAGGUGGAAAGAAUUUCGGUCAAGGAUGGACUCGCGGCCUAUCAGCUAGUUGGUGAGGUAAUGGCCCACCAAGGCGACGACGGGUAGCCGGCCUGAGAGGGUGACCGGCCACACUGGGACUGAGACACGGCCCAGACUCCUACGGGAGGCAGCAGUGGGGAAUAUUGCACAAUGGGCGCAAGCCUGAUGCAGCAACGCCGCGUGAGGGACGACGGCCUUCGGGUGUAAACCUCGUUUAGUAGGGAAGAAGCGAAAGUGACGGUACUGCAGAAAAGCACCGGCUAACUACGCGCCAGCAGCCGCGGU
rnacentral:rRNA from 1 species